rnacentral:tRNA from 1 species
GGGGUUGUGGCUCAGAGGUAGAGCACUCGCCUAGCAUGUGUGAGGCACUGGGUUUGAUCCUCAGCACCA